CGGUACUUCUGGGUUUCCCACAGUCUGCAACCCGAAAACAUGUAACCUGAAGCAAACGUAACAUGAGGUAUGACUGUAUGAGAAAAUGUGAAGGGAGGGAAGGGGAAAUGUUGGAAGGCAGUGAUUUGGAAGAGAGCAUUAUACGGACAAUGGAGAAUUAAUGGAGAUACAGGAAGCUUGGCUAUUCACUUUAAGACAUAGUGUGUAUGGGCCCUUAGAUAAUCUACUAGGUUGAGCACACAUUGCCAUUUACUCUACAGGCAUGGGAAAAGCCUUGUGGAUCAGGCCACUAGCCCAUUGAGUCCAGCUUCCUGUUAUCACAGUGGCCAACCAGAUGUCUGUGGAAAACCCACAAGCAGGAUUUGAGAGCAAGAACCCUAUCCCUUCCUGUACUUUCCAGCAACUGGUAUUCAGCAGCAUUGCAGUUUCCGUCUGUGGGGGCAGCAGAGCAUAGCCAUCUUGGACUUCUCCAUCAAUUUAUCUAAUUCUCUUUCGAAGAUGCCUAUGUUGGUGGCCAUCACUGCCUCCUCUGGGAGUGAUUCAAUAUGAAGAUGGCUGCUAGGAUGAAGGCUGGAUCAGCUCAGGAGAAAGAGGCUACUUGCCAUGACAUAUGGACCUGGCGGACCAGUUCCUGGAACCUCUCAACUUUCUUCCUCAUUGGAAUGGAUUUUGCAAAGGUAUUAAUUUUCAUUAUUGUACGAGUUCUCAGAAAGGGCACAUAUCUCCUGCAACCAAGUUAUUCUGAAACUGAAUUUGAAAGAGGUGAUGAUGGUCACAGAUGUUCAGAGGGUCCUCCGUGACAUUCCAUUUGGCAAUCAGAUGCAGAACACAAGCAGCAGGGUGUAUUGUAGGCCAGAAAGAGAUUUAGCUGAUACUUCACUUUCUCACAUUGAGUGAAACCCUGAAAGAGGAAGCUCUGCUUUGUGGGAGUUUCUCCUUUCAGCCUGUCCUUUUGCACGGAUUAUCCCCGCUGGAGGAGCAUCACUGGGGUAUCACUGGGAUGAAUGGCUGGGCCUAGGAGGGAACUGCUUCAUGCUUCCUUAGGAGGAGGAGUGGCCCAGGUUUCCCUAAAGACCACCCAGGAGGACUCCCCUGCUCAGCGCCUGAGGGCCCCAGUCCUGCCACUCACCACCUGGCCCAGGACGGGGCCUGACAGGCCUAUAAGAACUGCUGCUGCUGCUGGGCAGAGAGGGCUCCAUUUUGUUUUUGUUUAAAUUGCUGUUAUUUUUUACCUGUCAUUUUAAUCUGUGACAUAAUGCUGUAUUCUUAGUUUUAGAUUUUGAUUUCUGUGGAAACUGUUUCCCAUUUGGCUGUGUGUUUUUUUUGAUGUGGUUUAUUUAUUGUUUAUGACUUUUGAAAUUAUUUAAAUCUUGUUAUGCUGCAAGCUGCCUUGAGCAUUGUUUUUUAACUGUGGAAAGGCGGCAUACAAAUAAAAAAUGAUGAUGAUGAUGGGGGUGCUUGUGAGACCAUAUGGAAGGAAACCAUUCUUGGAGCCCAUAGCUCCAACUUUCAGCCGAUCACAAGCCUUCGCCCAGCGGUGCAUGAGGGUGGGGGCUGGAGUGGCAACAAGGCUCUCCUGGAGACAUGGCUGCAGGGAGACGGUUGCCAGAUCAGAGCCCGGGUGCUGCUGCUGCCAACCCCAAAUC
rnacentral:lncRNA from 1 species